rnacentral:ncRNA from 1 species
CCUUGAUGAGUAAUUAUACUCAACAUGCCACGACAAGGAGAUUUAAAUG